rnacentral:lncRNA from 1 species
GGAAUGACCACUGAAAACCACCUCUCCUGCAAGGUUAACUUCUUAUAGGAGAAUUAAAAACUAAGAAAUCAGAGCCUGUGAACUUGUUGUUUCUGAAAAAGGAGUCAGUUGCUAUUGGAAUAUUAUUUAAGGAGACACAUGUCAAUGCCAUUCUACAAAAAUGACACUUGACCCUGGAACUCAGCUUGGCCAAACCUGCCUCCGAUCCAAAUUGUGUUCUCGGUUAUAACUUCAUCAAUGGCGUUUCUCCAAGGCCAAAGUCAAACCUCUGCCAGAGGAAGAUACCAAAGCUUCAAAGGUGGCAAAACACUAUGGCAAAAACAGUGAUUGGCUUUCUAGAUGAUGAGCAGAAUGAACCUGCCUCACUAUCAAGGGCAAUGGGUGAAAAAUAACUCGGCAUUCAGGACUUUCCAGGAGGAACCAGACUUAUCCUUGUAAUAUCUGCACCCAUCAUCCAAGUCCACUUGGAGGAGACAAGAGAAGAGGAAAGGUUGUUAUUUCUUUUUGCUCUCCUUCAUUAGCCAAAUGAAGAGGAUGCAAUAAAACCAUGAUAACUUCUCAUAG